UACAGAGGGUGCGAGCGUUAAUCGGAAUUACUGGGCGUAAAGGGCGCGUAGGCGGUUAUAUAAGUUAGAUGUGAAAUCCCCGGGCUUAACCUGGGAACUGCAUUUAAGACUGUAUGGCUAGAGUAGAAUAGAGGGAAGUGGAAUUUCCAGUGUAGCGGUGAAAUGCGUAGAUAUUGGAAAGAACACCAGUGGCGAAGGCGGCUUCCUGGAUUCAUACUGACGCUGAGGCGCGAAAGCAUGGGGAGCAAACAGG
rnacentral:rRNA from 1 species